UACGAGAGGCCCAAACGUUAUUCGGAAUUAUUGGGCGUAAAGCGCACGCAGGCGGUCUCUUAAGUUUCGAGUGACAGGUGGUGGCUCAACUGCCACAGGCCUUGGAAAACUGGGAGACUUGAGGACUUCAGAGGGAUGCGGAAUUCCAGGUGGAGCGGUGAAAUGCGUAGAGAUCUGGAAGAACACCAAAGGCGAAGGCAUCAUCCUGGGAAGUAACUGACGCUCAUGUGCGAAAGCUAGGGGAGCGAACGGG
rnacentral:rRNA from 1 species